AGCUAGAGUAUAAAUCCGAUUUUGAGGUUGGUUUCAACAUUGUGUUUUGACUGAAAUGAUACUUGAUUUCAUGACUAAUACGUUUGUUAACUUUGUGAUAUUCCGCACAAGGUGCUAGUCGUGGAGUAGGGAGUGAGUGGAGGGCUCUUUUUGUUCAACACAAACCACACCAACGCUCUUACUCCAUCACCUUCACUUCAUCUCCGCUGUCCUGUCACAUCGGCCACUCCGUCACACGGAGGUCAACACACCUGACUUCAAUGUUGUCUUAUUAUUAAUGUGAAUCGACUUUUGGAACUUUCAACCCUUUGUGCCGUUCACAAUGUCAACAUGCCUUAAACAUUUAAUUAUUAACGUUGUCGUUGAGUAGCAGAUUAAAGUCUAUAGGACUCUUGUACAUCAGAGGGAAUCAUGGGAUGUUUGGUUUCUGAGAGGACUCAAGAGAGUUGUCGAACUGUGGUCCUGAAACCUCGUAUAUCCAGCGAGACACUGAAGCAGCAGACAAAAGACCCACGUCAAACACAAGACCAAUGUCAGCUGUGGAAAGUUUUGAGGAGAAAAGGAAGUGUGUGUGUGUGUGUGUGUGUGUGUGUGUGUGUGUGUGUGUGUGUGUGUGUGUGUGUGUGUGUGUGUGUGUGUGUGUGUGUGUGUGUGUGUGUGUGUGUGUGUGUGUGUGUGUGUGUGUGUGUGUGGGGACACCCCAGAGACGGCGUGGUCAGGCUCCUGGGACCCUCGGGCCGAGGCGUGCAGCAGUGCACUGGGCCGUAAACAAUGAGGGUCAAUCAGGGAAGCGUUCUCCAGGAGAGGUGUGCGGCUGACUUCCUACAGGAACCCUCCGCUCAUAAAGCCUUUCCAGGCGGGAAUUGGGGAGGGAAGUGAGAAGGGAGGAAGGGAGAGUGAACAUGUGAGUGUGUGUGUUUUUGGCUGGAGUUCUAAAGUCCUUAACUCUAUUGUUGCCUGACAUUCUCAGGUACCAUGGUUACUGCUGAGCACAGCCCCAGUGUAAAAGGCCUGUGUGAAGCUCCACUUUGACCCAGUGUUGUACUGGAGGAGCCCUGAUCCGAGCUGCAGUAACGUGGGCUCCUGUUGGGCCAAGCAGUUAGUUCGCUGAAACCGAGAAAGACUUCCAUAGUGAAGCUUUAUUAUCAGCUUGAUGGAGGAGUGUGUUUGUGACCACAGUAACAAGGGGUGUGUGUGUGUGUGUGUGUGUGUGUGUGUGUGUGUGUGUGUGUGUGUGUGUGUGUGUGUGUGUGUGUGUGUGUGUGUGUGUGUGUGUGUGUGUGUGUGUGGUAUAUAUCAUUGAGGUCUCUGCCCUUCCACUAAUCCUCUACCCGCCCUACCCCCCUCUGUUUUUGUUCCUGAAUCCAGUAUAAUAUCCAGGUUGUCCCAGACACAUUCAUCAGGCCCCUCGGUAGCUUCUUACAGAUUAACAGCCAGGGAGUCAGGAGCCGACACGCUAACCUCGCACUCAUCGCUCAGCCUCUAACUAAAGCCGCUUCUGAACCCAGCCGCUGCGGAGCUCACUCUGAGACCUGCGCUGAAGCUGUUCAGGAGGACCUACAAUCGCAGCGGGACCCAGCAGGCAGAGAACACUAGUGGUGUAGCGGCGGGGUGUAACGACGGGGUCUUGUCGUGAAGAGCCAGCGUGUCGGAGGCUGUGGUGACGGUGGUCUUGUUGGGUAGAUCUAACGUGACGCUGAGGCUGUGGUGACGGUGGUUUUGUCCAGGCACUGCUGGCCGGUCCCGGUUAUGUUCCUGUACAAAGCCCUUAAACACAGAGAUGAAGAGGAGGACGCCGAGUCCCAGAAACCCUGGAUAGAAAGCACUUUCACCAAGAGGGAAUGUGUGUACAUCCUGCCAGUGUCCAAAGACCCCCACAGAUGCCUGCCAGGAUGCAAGAUCUGCCAGCAGCUGGUGCGGUGCUGCUGCGGCCGCCUGGUCCGGCAGCAUACCGGCUUCCCCGCCAGCCUGGCCGUCCGCUACUCGGACGGGCGGCUGGGUGACGACCCAGACCGCAGCGCGGGGGAGCCCCAGGAGUGGGCGGUGGACCGGCACACAGAGGAGAGCCCAACCGACGCCUACGGGGUCGUCAACUUCCAGGGGGGCUCCCACUCCUACAGGGCCAAGUACGUGCGUCUGUCCCACGACUCGCCCCCGGAGCACGUCCUGCGCCUCAUGCUGAGGGAGUGGCAGAUGGAGCUGCCCAAGAUCCUCAUCUCGGUCCACGGGGGCAUCCAGAACUUCGAGCUGCACCCGCGCAUCAAGCAGGUGGUGGGGAAGGGGCUGAUCAAGGCGGCCGUCACCACCGGGGCCUGGAUCCUAACCGGGGGGGUCAACACUGGUGUGGCGAAACACGUUGGCGAUGCGCUGAAGGACCACUCCACCAGGUCCUCCAAGAAGAUCUGCACUAUCGGCAUCGCUCCCUGGGGGGUGAUCGAGAACCGGAACGACCUCAUUGGAAGAGACGUGAUCGCUCCGUACCAGACGCUGCUGAACCCCCUCAGUAAGCUCAACGUCCUCAACAACUCCCACUCCCACUUCCUGCUGGUGGAUGACGGGACGGUGGGGCGCUACGGGGCGGAGGUACAGCUCCGCCGGCAGCUGGAGAAACACAUCAACCUGCAGAGGAUCCACGCCCGCAUUGGGCAGGGGGUCCCGGUGGUGGCCCUGAUCCUGGAGGGGGGCCCCAACGUGAUCCUGACGGUGCUGGACUACCUGCAGGAGAGCCCCGCCGUGCCCGUGGUGGUGUGCGAGGGGACGGGCCGCGCCGCCGACAUCCUGGCCUACAUCCACAAGCAGACGGAGGAGGGAGGAGGCCUUCCUGAUGGUGUGGAGGCUGACAUCAUCGCCACCAUCAAGAAAACCUUCAACUUCAGCCACAGCGACGCCAUCCACCUCUUCCAGACGCUCAUGGAGUGCAUGAAGAGCAAAGAGCUGAUCACUGUUUUCCACCUCAGCUCUGAGGACCACCAGGACAUUGACGUGGCCAUCCUCAGAGCGCUGCUCAAAGGAACAAACGCCCUGGCCUUCGAUCAGCUGGUCCUGACGCUGGCCUGGGACCGCGUGGACAUCGCCAAGAACCACGUCUUUGUGUACGGGCAGCAGCUCCUGGUUGGUUCUCUGGAGCAGGCCAUGCUGGACGCCCUGGUGAUGGACAGGGUGGACUUUGUGAAGCUGCUCAUCGAGAACGGGGUCAGCCUCCACCGCUUCCUCACCAUCCAACGGCUGGAGGAGCUCUACAACACGAAACAGCCUUCGAACAACCCCACCCUGCUCCAUCUGGUCAGGGAUGUCAAACAGGGUAAUCUGCCCCCAAACUAUAAGAUCACCUUGAUUGACGUGGGCCUGGUAAUUGAGUUCCUCAUGGGCGGGACUUACAGGUGCAACUACACCAGGAAACGGUUCCGGACCAUAUACAACAGCCUGCACGGCAGCAACCGGAGAUCGGGGCGCCACAUGGCGGGCUCCGGUUCUCACCUGAGGAACAGCCACGAGACCUUCAGCAUCCAGGCGGACAAGAAGGAGAAGACCAGACACAGCCACUUCAUUAAGACCGCCCAGCCAUACAAGCCCAAGCCAGAAGUUUCCACAGAGCAGAACAAGAAGAGGAGCAAGGAGGAGAUGGUGGACAUCGACGACCCCGAGACGCGGCGCUUCCCCUACCCCUUCAACGAGCUGCUGGUGUGGGCCGUUCUGAUGAAGAGGCAGAAGAUGGCGCUGUUCUUCUGGCAGCACGGGGAGGAGAACAUGGCCAAGGCGCUGGUGGCCUGCAAGCUCUGCCGCUCCAUGUGCUUCGAGGCCAAAAAGAGCGACCUGGUGGACGACACUUCUGAGGAGCUGAAGGAGUACUCCAAUGAGUUUGGCACGCUGGCCGUGGACCUGCUGGAGGAGUCUUUCCGCCAGGACGAGACCAUGGCCAUGAAGCUGCUCACCUACGAGCUGAAGAACUGGAGCAACUCCACCUGCCUGAAGCUGGCUGUGUCCUCCCACCUGCGGCCCUUCGUGGCUCACACCUGCACCCAGAUGCUUCUGUCGGACAUGUGGAUGGGAAGGCUCAACAUGCGCAAGAACUCCUGGUACAAGGUGAUCCUGAGUAUGCUGGUUCCUCCUGCCAUCCUGCUGUUAGAGUACAAGUCCAAGGCAGAGAUGGCCCACAUCCCUCAGAGCCAGGAUGACCACCAGAUGACCAUGGAGGACAGCGAGCACAACUUCCACCAUAUGGCCGACGACAUCCAGAUGGACGUGUUUAAAGAAGCCAGGUCACAUGACACCACAGAGGUGAAGAAUGACACUGAGACCCACCCCCGCUCCAGGAAGCUGCCCCUGACCAGGAAGAUCUACGCCUUCUACCAUGCCCCCAUCGUCAAGUUCUGGUCCAACACGCUCUUCUACCUGGCCUUCCUGAUGUUCUACUCCUACGUGGUGCUGGUGAAGAUGCCCGAGUGGCCGUCUCCCCAGGAGUGGGUGGUCAUCCUCUACAUCUUCACCUCCGCCGUGGAGAAGAUCCGCGAGAUGUUCAUGUCGGAGGCGGGUAAGAUCAGCCAGAAGAUCAAGGUGUGGUUCAGCGACUACUUCAACGUGUCCGACUUCCUGGCCAUCGUCACGUUCUUCGCGGGCUUCGGGCUGCGGCUGGCGGGGGGCGAGGCCUUCGUCCCGGGCCGGACGGUGUACUGCCUCAACAUCGUCUUCUGGUACGUCCGCCUGCUGGACAUCCUGGCCGUCAACCAGCAGGCAGGGCCCUACGUCAUGAUGAUCGCCAAGAUGGUGGCCAACAUGUUCUACAUCGUGGUGAUCAUGGCCAUCGUUCUCCUGAGUUACGGCGUUCCCAGGAAAGCCAUCCUGUACCCGGAUGAGGAUCCCAGCUGGACGCUGGCCAAAGACGUGGUGUUCCAGCCGUACUGGAUGAUGUAUGGUGAAGUAUACGCGUACGAAAUCGAUGUGUGCGCCAACAACAGCGACCCCUCGGUCAAGAAGCUAUGCACCACCAGCGUGUGGCUCACCCCCCUGCUGCAAGCCGUCUACCUCUUCGUCCAGUACAUCCUGAUGGUCAACCUCCUCAUCGCCUUCUUCAACAACAUCUACCUGCAGGUGAAGUCCAUCUCCAACCUGGUGUGGAAGUACCAGCGCUACCACUUCAUCAUGGCCUACCAUGAGAAGCCCGUCCUGCCGCCGCCCUUCAUCCUGCUCUGCCACGUCUUCUCCCUCUUCUACUGCAUGUGUCGCAAGAGGAAGAAGGAGAGCACCUACGGCCCCAAGCUGUUCCUCACCGAGGAGGACCAGAAGAAGCUGCAUGACUUCGAGACGCAGUGUCUGGAGACCUACUUCCACGAGAAGGACGACGAGUUCCACUCGGGGAGCGAGGAGCGAAUACGAAUCACCUCGGACCGCGUGGAGACCAUGGGCAUCCAGCUAAAGGAGGUGGGCAACAAGGUGAACUUCAUCAAGCGCUCGCUGCACACGCUGGACUCCCAGAUCGGCCACCUCCAGGACCUGUCGGCGCUGACCGUGGACACGCUGAAGGCCCUGACCGCCCAGCGCGCCUCGGAGGCCAGCAAGGUGCAUAACCAGAUCAGCCGGGAGCUCAGCCUCUCCAAGAACGUGGGCCCCGGGGACGCGGGCCCCCAGUCCAAGCCCUCCGCACUGGCCAAGCGCAGCGUGGGGGCCUUCUUCGGCUCCCCUUUCGGCUCCUCCUUCCCGCAGGCCGGGGGCAACCUGGCCGACUCCCUGUUCGGCCUGGGGGCGGGGGGGGGCGGGGUGCCGGACGCCGGCCGCAGGGCGGGGCUGGGCCACGGGCCGGACCCCGGCGCCCCCCUGGGGGCCGAGCGGAGGGGCUGGAUGGGGCUGGGGAACCUGGCGGGCGUUGAGGCGGGCGUGUCCGGGGGCUUCCCGCCCCGGGCCCCGGCAGCGUCCCCCCCCGAGCUGCGGCACCGGGGGAACUCCUUCACCCAGAGGCAGCUGGGCCGUCCACAGGAGCCCGGCAUCUCCGACUCCUCCGCCAGCCUGCCCAACGUUCCCUCCCCGGGGGCCCGCUUCUACGUCAGCAGCACCCCCUCCCAGCCCAGUGGCUCCAGCCACCCGGAACUCACCCUGACCGGGCCCUACCGCCCCCCCCCCACCGACAGCACCGUGGUGGAGUUCGGGGCGUUCGUCGGUAAGUACGGCCAGGGGGAGGUGGAGAGGAAGGAGGACGACUGUGUGUGUGUGUACCCUACCGUUGUCGUGGUUUCCAAGGAUUCAAACUCUGGCCGAGCCGGGCGCUUGCCCACCUACUCUGAGUCGGAGGGGGGGUUCGGGGGCGGGGGGAGGGCGGGGGGCGGGGGCUUCGUGAACGAGGCGUUCUGCGACGACGACGGCCGUUCACUAAGAGCCGGCCCGUCUAGCCCGCGGGUUAGAGUGGCUGACGCCCACGUGGUCGACAUGGCGACCGACGAAAACACCCCCGCGUCCUCGUACAGCGACGCUCGAGAAACGGCGCCCCCCGCGGCUCUUGCCCCUGCAGGGGAGCCCAGAAGACCCCAGAAGAAGAAGAGCAGAGAAGGGCGCGAGGCCCCCAGAAGGCACCAGAGCGUCCCUCCCGGACCGGCCCCCAGCAGCAGAGGACACAAGGACGCCGUGGAGCUUCAGUCCUCCUCCCCCAAAGACAGGCUGCCAGCGCCCAGCAGACAGCCCAGCCCGGGCGCCCGCAGCCGGCCGCAGGCUCCUUCUGAAGUCCGGCCCCACAUGAGGACGGUCAACUCGUACGCUGGCUUCACGGAGUUCGACCAGGGGCCUCCGUUCCUCCACCCGGACUCCUCUCUCAGUAAGACGGAGAGGAGCAGAGUUUCAGCAGAAGACAUCCUCCUCUACGAUGAUCCUUGCGCCACGGUCACGCUGCACCAGGAGAGUCUGCAGGUGAAGUCCGCCCAGGCCAGCAGUCUACGGGCCGGGGGCGAGGAUGUACUGAACGGUAAAGACUCUCGUCUCUCUCGUCUCCUUCGUCAGGCUUUCUCUGGUCCAUCUGUCUGUCUCUAGUCUGUAGGCAGCCCUCUCACUCUCCCUGUGUCACUAGUCUGUAGGCAGACCUCUCACUCUCCCUGUGUCACUAGUCUGUAGGUCCUCUCACUCUCCCUGGGUCACUAGUCUGGAGGCAGACCUCUCACUCUCCCUGUGUCACUAGUCUGUAGGUCCUCUCACUCUCCCUGUGUCACUAGUCUGUAGGUCCUCACACUCUCCCUGUGUCACUAGUCUGUAGGUCCUCUCCAGGGGCGUUGCUAGACCUAGAGUUUUACUGGGGCACAGGCCCCCAACUGCCAACAUUUUUUUUUACGUGUGCACAAUAUGAAAUAUAUGGAUACAGAAGGGUAUGUACGAGCUUCAAAAUUGUUGUCACUGUCAUACUGUAGGCUAUAUUAAAGCACUGGUAAAGGUAAAGACGCAAAGAUGGAUUCAUGAGUACCGUACAAUUAUAUUUAUUUAAACACAUACACAUCUCAAAGAUUUACAAAUAAGGUAACUGACAAAUAAACAAAAAGUCUCUUUAUGACCUUCACCUCUUUAUCAGGAGAAGUCUACACAUCUAUAUUUAUUUAGAAGCUGUGUGGAAACAGCAUAAUUUUGCCAGAACGACAUGUACUAAAAAGGCAAGAAACAAGGUUUAAAACUAAUAGAAUUUCUGACUUGAGGUGAGGUGGCUCAUUGCCACCAAUCAACCUGGAAAAUGUUAUAGAACCAUCAAAGCUCUUAAAUUAAACUAAAUAAGGCCAUACACUACUGCAUAGAGCCUUUUUAAAUGAUUAUUUUUUCACUAUUAAGCUGUAUCGCCGUGCCUUCAUGGUGGCAAAGCGGUCAAUAACGUGGCUUUGACUCACUUUGCAUAGUUGCUCCUUUUCAAUGGACAAAAGAGAAAGUUGGUGAAGCCUUCCUUGCCCCAUGGUUGACCUAAGCCAGGUGUGGAGCCUUCUCGACACACUGAAAGAUCGCUCACAACUACAACUGUUUACAGGAAUUCUCCCGUGGUUUCCAACGAAACAUGAUCAACAAAAAAACAAGGAAUUGAAAGCUACUUACAAUAUGCCUAGGUUACAUUCAUUUCCCCUGAUGGCAGCAAUGUUCCACUUUCAGCUGGAAUUCACGGUACAUCAAAACCACGUGUCUUCUUUAGAUUUCAGUUCCCUUUAUUUAUUCACACAGUUCAGCAGCGGCAUUUAUUCAGAAUCAGAGCCCAAAUUAAAGCUGCAUUUAGGGCGACUAUCACUACCCAGCAGAAAAAUAGAUGCACUAUAAAUGGUUUUGUAUAGCAGUCACGAACAUGAGCAUAGUUGUGGAAAUGCUGGUGUUAGAAAACAUAGUUGACGGGAAUUAAAGUGCUGCACAUCGACUGUACAAAUGUAGAUUAUUCAUCACAAGAAUUUUAAUUCAGAAAUCGAAUAGGCUAAUAAACUCUGAAUUGUGAGAUAAAAUUCAGCAUUCUGAAUAAAGUCAGAAUACUUGGAUAAAAUCCGAAUUCUGAUAAUUAAAUCCAGCAUUAAAGGUUAAUUUAAGAAGGUUCUCACCAGUCAUUUGUCGCCUGGUCACAGUGUCAAGUUUUUUUUUUAAAGUAGUUCACUAGUCGUAGCGUGCAAAUAAAUUGCAGUGUCAGAAUUCUGAGAAUUUUGUCAGCAUUCAGAUUUCCCAGAAUUCUCUUACACUGCAAAUUAAAGCACUACUACUAGCAAACUAGUUUCAGCGUGACUGGAGAGAACUUCCUUAAAUGAACCUUUAAUGCUAGAUUUGCAUCAACGCUAUUGUGUGAAUUGGUAUGGUUCUCUUUCAUGGAAGCCGGAAGUGGGAGAUUCCUUAUUUUUUUUACCAUUAUUGUUUUAUUAACAAAUUUCUCCUACAGGGGAUUGAUAAAGUUCUAUCUAGACUAUUGAACAGAAAGAAACACUUGGUCAUACUUUA